GAUGAACGCUAGCUACAGGCUUAACACAUGCAAGUCGCGGGGCAGCAUGGGGGUUGCUUGCAAUCCCCGAUGGCGACCGGCGCACGGGUGAGUAACGCGUAUCCAACCUGCCCUUCACCACGGGAUAACCCGGCGAAAGUCGGACUAAUACCGUAUGUUGUCCAUUGACGGCAUCCGAUUCGGACGAAAGGUUUGGCGGUGAAGGAUGGGGAUGCGUCCGAUUAGCUGGACGGCGGGGUGACGGCCCACCGUGGCGACGAUCGGUAGGGGUUCUGAGAGGAGGGUCCCCGACACGGGAACUGAGACCCGGGCCAGACUCCUACGGGAGGCAGCAGUGAGGAAGAUUGGUCAAUGGGCGUAAGCCUGAACCAGCAAAGUAGCGUGCAGGAGGACGGCGCUAUGGGUUGUAAACUGCUUUUAUGCGGGGAUAAAGUGGCCCACGUGUGGGUUUUUGCAGGUACCGCAUGAAUAAGGACCGGCUAAUUCCGUG
rnacentral:rRNA from 1 species